UUGGUAGAAAUGAAUUUCUCAUUCUACUAUCCAUCUCAAGUGACGCACACUAUCUAUAGAAGACCUCUACAAAGUGUUGGGACAAAAAGGAAUAAGAUAAAUUGAAUAUGGUUAACUAAAAAUAACCACACAAAAAAAAAACUACGGUUAACUAGCACUAAAAAAAUCACUGCCUAUGUUGUGAAGAGCAAGAACCUUCAUUUUCUUGAACAA
rnacentral:lncRNA from 1 species